GGAAGGAUCAUUAGCGUUUGGAUGGUUUCUGCCAUUUGAUCAACUGUGGAUCGUGUUGUGAGCGGUCGGGUCUCGUGGGACCCGCUUUUAUGCGAACUGGAACGACUUGGCUAAAGCGGAAUUUUUCAAAAUCAUAUACAACUCUUAGCAAUGGAUAUCUUGGUUCCCACAACGAUGAAGAACGCAGCGAAAUGCGAUACGUAAUGCGAAUUGCAGAAUUCAGUGAAUCAUCGAAUCUUUGAACGCAAGUUGCGCUUUCGAGAGCCCUCGGAAGCAUGCCUCUCUGAGUAUCGGUUUCCAUCUCACACCCGGUGUGGAGCAUGAGGGUCGCGGCGCUUCACGCCCGCGUCCCUUGAAAUCAGGUCGGCCCGGCACAAGUCCAUCGGAUCCUUGGAACGACGAUCCGCCAUGGCACCACGGAACCACUGGCAAGAUCUCAGGUGAGGUAAGACUACCCGCUGAAUUUAAGCAUAUAAUUAAGCGGAGGAAAAGAAACUAACUAGGAUUCCCUUAGUAACGGCGAGUGAAGCGGGAAGAGCUCAAACCGAAAAUCUCUGCCCGUCCGCGGGCAGCGAAUUGUGGUCUAUGGAGGCGUGUUCAGCGUGCGGCGCCGGCCAAAGUCCGUUGGAAGACGGCGCCUGGGAGGGUGACAGCCCCGUCCAUGGCUGGAUGUCCGCCGCGUACGAACCGCUCUCUAAGAGUCGGCUUGCUUGGGAGUGCAGGCCUAAGUGGGUGGUAAAUUUCAUCCAAAGCUAAAUACCUGUGGGAGACCGAUAGCGAACAAGUACCGUGAGGGAAAGAUGAAAAGAACUUUGAAAAGAGAGUCAAAAGUACUUGAAAUUGCUGAGAUCGAAGGGAUGGCAUCUAGUAUUGGCCGGGGGAUUUGGCCGGCGAGGAGUCGGCCCCGUCCGGGUCGCAAUUGGCUCUGGUCUUUGCGGCUGGGGCGUGGUCCGGCGCCGAGUCGGCUCCCGUCCCCGGGCCUAGGUCAGGAUGGAUUUGCGGUGGUUGAGAAGCGCCCCGGGAAGGUGGCCGUCCCCUCGGGGGCGGACCUUACAGACCGGGGCGGAUGGACUGCCGGGGAUCGAGGCGAGAAAACCCACACCUUCUUCGGGCGGUUGGGGGCCCCGUGCAAUGGUCGGCCGGUGCCGGCGGGAUGCAAUGCCUCGCGUCGGCGGCCGGUCGCCAUCUGCGCGGUCGGCCCACUUGUGCGGUUUGGGAUCCUGACGAAAUGGUUGUCAUUCACCCGUCUUGAAACACGGACCAAGGAGUCUUACAUGUAUGCGAGUGAUCGGGUGGGAAACUCGUUCGCGGAAUGAAGGUGAUUGUGGGAGGAUCGACGGCGGGCGCCAGCCUGCCGGCAGAUCCGGGCGGCCAGGAUAUCGGUACGACCCAGAGCAUAUCUGUAGGGACCCGAAAGAUGGUGAACUAUGCUUGAGCAGGACGAAGCCAGGGGAAACUCUGGUGGAAGUCCGAAGCGAUACUGACGUGCAAAUCGUUCGUCUGACUUGAGUAUAGGGGCGAAAGACUAAUCGAACCAUCUAGUAGCUGGUUCCCUC
rnacentral:misc_RNA from 1 species